rnacentral:rRNA from 1 species
UUGACCUCGAAUCAGGUAGGAAUACCCGCUGAACUUAAGCAUAUCAAUAAGCGGAGGAAAAGAAACCAACAGGGAUUGCCCCAGUAACGGCGAGUGAAGCGGCAACAGCUCAAAUUUGAAAUCUGGCUCUCGGGCCCGAGUUGUAAUUUGUAGAGGAUGCUUUUGGUGAGGUGCCUUCCGAGUUCCCUGGAACGGGACGCCAUAGAGGGUGAGAGCCCCGUCUGGUCGGA